rnacentral:tRNA from 1 species
GGAACUCGAAAACCGGUAGGCCCGUUUUCGGGUCUCGUGGGUUCGAAUCCCACCCUCUCCG